rnacentral:rRNA from 1 species
UUGGCGACCGAUAGUGCACAAGUACCGUGAGGGAAAGGUGAAAAGCACCCCGACAAGGGGAGUGAAAGAGACCUGAAACCGGAUGCCUACAAGCAGUCGGAGCCCGCAAGGGUGACGGCGUACCUUUUGUAUAAUGGGUCCGCGAGUUCGUGUUGGCAGCAAGCUUAAGCCGAGAGGUGUAGGCGCAGCGAAAGCGAGUCUGAAUAGGGCGCAUAGUUGCCGGCAUGAGACCCGAAACCUGGUGAUCUAGCCAUGGACAGGUUGAAGGUGGGGUAACACCCACUGGAGGACCGAACCCACGCCUGUUGAAAAAGUCGGGGAUGAUCUGUGGUUAGGGGUGAAAGGCCAAAUCAAAACCAGGAAAUAGCUGGUUCUCCGCGAAAUCUAUUGAGGUAGAUCGUCCGUCGAUCACCAUCGGAGGUAGAGCACCGGAAGGGCUAGGGGGGCCAAAGCCUACCAAACCUACCGAACUCCGAAUGCCGAUGAGUGCAGGCGGGCAGACAGACAGUGGGUGCUAAGGUCCAUUGUCGAGA